GACAGCUUGUCCGAGUGGUUAAGGAGACAGACUCGAAAUCUGUUGGGCUCUGCCCGCGCAAGUUCGAAUCCUGCAGCUGUCG
rfam:Blastocystis sp. NandII AV274scaffold_25, whole genome shotgun sequence.